rnacentral:rRNA from 1 species
CGUUGAUUACGUCCCUGCCCUUUGUACACACCGCCCGUCGCUACUACCGAUUGAAUGGCUCAGUGAGGCCUUCGGAUUGGCUCAGGGGGGUCGGCAACGGCCUCUCAGAGCCGAGAACUUGGUCAAACUUGGUCAUUUAGAGGAAGUAAAAGUCGUAACAAGG